rnacentral:rRNA from 1 species
CCGAAUGCAGCAGCUACACAUGCAGUCGAGCGGUAGCACAGAGAGCUUGCUCUCGGGUGACGAGCGGCGGACGGGUGAGUAAUGUCUGGGAAACUGCCUGAUGGAGGGGGAUAACUACUGGAAACGGUAGCUAAUACCGCAUAACGUCGCAAGACCAAAGUGGGGGACCUUCGGGCCUCAUGCCAUCAGAUGUGCCCAGAUGGGAUUAGCUAGUAGGUGGGGUAACGGCUCACCUAGGCGACGAUCCCUAGCUGGUCUGAGAGGAUGACCAGCCACACUGGAACUGAGACACGGUCCAGACUCCUACGGGAGGCAGCAGUGGGGAAUAUUGCACAAUGGGCGCAAGCCUGAUGCAGCCAUGCCGCGUGUAUGAAGAAGGCCUUCGGGUUGUAAAGUACUUUCAGCGGGGAGGAAGGCGAUAAGGUUAAUAACCUUGUCGAUUGACGUUACCCGCAGAAGAAGCACCGGCUAACUCCGUGCCAGCAGCCGCGGUAAUACGGAGGGUGCAAGCGUUAAUCGGAAUUACUGGGCGUAAAGCGCACGCAGGCGGUCUGUCAAGUCGGAUGUGAAAUCCCCGGGCUCAACCUGGGAACUGCAUUCGAAACUGGCAGGCUAGAGUCUUGUAGAGGGGGGUAGAAUUCCAGGUGUAGCGGUGAAAUGCGUAGAGAUCUGGAGGAAUACCGGUGGCGAAGGCGGCCCCCUGGACAAAGACUGACGCUCAGGUGCGAAAGCGUGGGGAGCAAACAGGAUUAGAUACCCUGGUAGUCCACGCCGUAAACGAUGUCGAUUUGGAGGUUGUGCCCUUGAGGCGUGGCUUCCGGAGCUAACGCGUUAAAUCGACCGCCUGGGGAGUACGGCCGCAAGGUUAAAACUCAAAUGAAUUGACGGGGGCCCGCACAAGCGGUGGAGCAUGUGGUUUAAUUCGAUGCAACGCGAAGAACCUUACCUGGUCUUGACAUCCACAGAACUUGCCAGAGAUGGCCUUGGUGCCUUCGGGACUGUGAGACAGUGCUGCAUGGCUGUCGUCAGCUCGUGUUGUGAAAUGUUGGGUUAAGUCCCGCACGAGCGCACCCUUAUCCUUUGUUGCCAGCGGGUUCGGGCC